GAUGAACGCUGGCGGCGUGCCUAAUACAUGCAAGUCGAGCGAACAGACGAGGAGCUUGCUCCUCUGACGUUAGCGGCGGACGGGUGAGUAACACGUGGAUAACCUACCUAUAAGACUGGGAUCACUUCGGGAAACCGGAGCUAAUACCGGAUAAUAUAUUGAACCGCAUGGUUCAAUAGUGAAUGACGGUUUUGCUGUCUCUAAUAGAUGGAUCUGGGCCGCAUUAGCUAGUUGGUAAGGUAACGGCUUACCAAGGCAACGAUGCGUAGCCGACCUGAGAGGGUGAUCGGCCACACGGGGACUGAGACGCGGUCCAGACUCCUGAGGGAGGCAGCAGUAGGGAAUCUUCGGCAAUGGGCGGAAGCCUGACGGAGCAACGCCGCGUGAGUGAUGAAGGUCUUCGGAUCGUAAAACUCUGUUAUUAGGGAAGAACAAAUGUGUAAGUAACUAUGCACGUCUUGACGGUACCGAAUCAGAAAGCCACGGCUAACUACGUG
rnacentral:rRNA from 1 species